UUUUCAGUCCACCGGGAUACCCUUUUUUUCCCAAGCCGCCCUUGUGGGGUUUUCGACCUGCCGGGUGUACAGUUUUUUUUCCUUUUUAUCCCUAAUUUUUGCCCGAACCUUUUUCAUUUUCAUUUUUUUGGUUCGCCGGGAUGCCCAUUUUUGCCUGGACUAUUUUAUUCUUUCCGUCCAGCGGGUCUCUUAUACGAAGUAUUUUUUAACUGCGUUCGCAUUCACAGGGG
rnacentral:lncRNA from 1 species